rnacentral:rRNA from 1 species
UACAGAGGUCUCAAGCGUUGUUCGGAUUCAUUGGGCGUAAAGGGUGCGUAGGCGGCGCGGUAAGUCGGGUGUGAAAUCUUGGAGCUUAACUCCGAAACUGCAUUCGAUACUGCCGUGCUUGAGGACUGGAGAGGAGACUGGAAUUUACGGUGUAGCGGUGAAAUGCGUAGAUAUCGUAAGGAAGACCGUGGCGAAGGCGGGUCUCGUGGACAGUUCCUGACGCUGAGGCACGAAGGCCCAGGGGGAGCAAAACGGGG